rnacentral:rRNA from 1 species
AGUGAACGCUGGCGGUAGGCCUAACACAUGCAAGUCGAACGGCAGCACAGUAAGAGCUUGCUCUUACGGGUGGCGAGUGGCGGACGGGUGAGGAAUACAUCGGAAUCUACUUUUUCGUGGGGGAUAACGUAGGGAAACUUACGCUAAUACCGCAUACGACCUACGGGUGAAAGCAGGGGAUCUUCGGACCUUGCGCGAUUGAAUAAGCCGAUGUCGGAUUAGCUAGUUGGCGGGGUAAAGGCCCACCAAGGCGACGAUCCGUAGCUGGUCUGAGAGGAUGAUCAGCCACACUGGAACUGAGACACGGUCCAGACUCCUACGGGAGGCAGCAGUGGGGAAUAUUGGACAAUGGGCGCAAGCCUGAUCCAGCCAUACCGCGUGGGUGAAGAAGGCCUUCGGGUUGUAAAGCCCUUUUGUUGGGAAAGAAAAGCAGCAGGUUAAUACCCCGCUGUUCUGACGGUACCAAAAGAAUAAGCACCGGCUGACUUCGUG